rnacentral:rRNA from 1 species
UGCAUACCAGGUAGUAACAGAGAGUUCGAUUCUGGCUCAGAUUGAACGCUGGCGGGAUGCUUUACACAUGCAAGUCGAACGGCAGCACGGACUUCGGUCUGGUGGCGAGUGGCGAACGGGUGAGUAAUGUAUCGAACGUAAGCCAGUAGCGGGGGAUAACUACGAAAGCGUAGCGACACGCACAUGCCCUUCGGGGGAUGGGGAUCUUCGGGCCUCCGCACUAUUAGAGCGGCCGAUAUCGGAUUAGCUAGUUGGUGGGGUAAACGGGUCACCACAAGGCGACGAUCCGGGAAGGUUUGAGAGGACGACCAGCCACUGGGACUGAGACACGGCCCAGACUCCUACGGAGGCAGCAGGGAAUUUCGGACAAUGGGGAAGCUCCCGAUCCAGCCAUCCCGCGUGUGCGACAGAAGGCCUCGGGCCAGAAAGCACUUUUUGGCAGGAAGAACGGCAGAUUACAAUACCUCGUGCAACUGACGGUACCUGCAGAAUAAGCACCUACAACUACGUGCCAGCAGCCGCGGUAAUACGUAGGGGUGCGUUGGUGCACCGGAAUUACUGGGCGGAAGCAAAAAGCAGGCGGUUCGGAAAGAAAGAUGUGAAAUCCCAGAGCUUAACUUUGAACUGCAUUUUUAACUACUGAGCUAGAGUGCGGCCAGAGGGGAGUGGAAUUCCGCGUAGCAGUGAAUGCGUAGAUAUGUGAGAACACCGAUGGCGAAGGCAGCCUCCUGGGAUAACACUGACGCUCAUGCACGAAAGCGUGGGGAGCAAACAGGAUUAGAUACCCCGGUAGUCCACGCCCUAAAACGAUGUCAACUAGCUGUUGGGGCCUUCGGGCCUUGCAGCGGCUAACGCGUGAAGUUGGGACCGUCUGGGGAGUACGGUCGCAAGAUUAAAAACUCAAAGGAAUUAACGGGGACCCGCACAAGCGGUGGAUGAUGAUUAAUUCGAUGCAACGCGAAAAACCCACUUACCUUGACAUGUUCGGAAUCCUGAAGAGAUUUGGGAGUGUCGCAAGAGAACCGGAACACAGGUGCUGCAGAAGGGCUGUCGCUGUGUCGAGAUGUUGGGUUAAGUCCGCAACGAGCGCAACCCUUAUCACAUUAGUUACGAAAGGCACUCUAAUGAGACUGCCGGUGACAAACCGGAGGGCGGGGAUGACGUUGAGUCCUCAUGGUCUCAGGUAGGCCUCGACGUCAUACAAUGGUCGGGACAGAGGGUCGCCAUCCGGCGAGGGGGAGCUGAAUCCAGAAACCCGAUCGUAGUCCGGAUCGCAGUCUUCGCAACCCGACUGCGUGAAGUCGGAAUCGCUAGUAAUCGUGGAUCAGCAUGAACGCAGGGGUGAAUACGUUCCCUGGCCUUGUACACACCGCCCGUCACAACUGUGGAGUGAAGCCUUAUCCAGCGGGUUAGCCUUAAUCGUAUGGGAGGGCGAUUACCACGGUAGGAUUCAUGACUGGGCAGUCGUAAUGAAGGGUAG